GACGAACGCUGGCGGCGUGCCUAAUACAUGCAAGUAGAACGCUGAAGGAGGAGCUUGCUUCUCUGGAUGAGUUGCGAACGGGUGAGUAACGCGUAUGGAACCUGCCUGGUAGCGGGGGAGAACUAUUGGAAACGAUAGCUAAUACCGCAUAAGAGUAGAUGUUGCAUGACAUUUACUUAUAAGAUGCAAUUGUAUCACUACCAGAUGGACCUGCGUUGUAUUAGGUAGUUGGUGGUGUAACGGCUCACCAAGGCGACGAUACAUAGCCGACCUGAGAGGGUGAACGGCCACACUGGGACUGAGACAAGGCCCAGGCCCCUAAGGGAGGGAGCAGUAGGGGAUCUUCGGCAAAGGGGGGAAGUCUGACCGAGGAACGCCGCGUGAGGGAAGGAGGUUUUCGGAUCGUAAAGCUCUGUUGAAAGGGGAGAAAGAGUGUUGGAGUGGAAAGUUCACACUGUGACGGUAGCUAAUCAGAAAGGGACGGCUAACUACGUG
rnacentral:rRNA from 1 species